rnacentral:rRNA from 1 species
GCAGCUUGCUGGACUGUAACUGACGCUGAGGCACGAAAGCGUGGGGGAUCAAACAGGAUUAGAUNCCCUGGUAGNCCACGCCGUAANCGAUGAAUGCUAGCUGUUAGCGAUAUACUGUUAGCGGCACAGAGAAAUCGUUAAGCAUUCCACCUGGGGAGUACGCCGGCAACGGUGAAACUCAAAGGAAUUGACGGGGGCCCGCACAAGCGGAGGAACAUGUGGUUUAAUUCGAUGAUACGCGAGGAACCUUACCUGGGCUUAAAUUGCAGUGGAAUAACGUGGAAACAUGUUAGCCUUCGGGCCGCUGUGAAGGUGCUGCAUGGUUGUCGUCAGCUCGUGCCGUGAGGUGUCGGCUUAAGUGCCAUAACGAGCGCAACCCUCAUCGAUAGUUACUAACAGGUUAAGCUGAGGACUCUAUCGAGACUGCCGACGUAAGUCGUGAGGAAGGUGGGGAUGACGUCAAAUCAGCACGGCCCUUACGUCCAGGGCUACACACGUGUUACAAUGGGGGGUACAAAGGGCAGCUACCUGGCGACAGGAUGCUAAUCUCAAAAACCUCUCUCAGUUCGGAUUGGAGUCUGCAACCCGACUCCAUGAAGCUGGAUUCGCUAGUAAUCGCGCAUCAGCCACGGCGCGGUGAAUACGUUCCCGGGCCUUGUACACACCGCCCGUCAAGCCAUGGGAGCUGGGGGGACCUGAAGUAUGCAACCGUAAGGAGCGUCCUAGGGUAAAACUGGUGACUGGGGCU